GAUUAUUCAGUGGUGAGUAAGAAGAGAAGUGGAAAGCCUUUCCUACCACAGUUUAUUAUAUGUUUCACGCCUAGGCUCAUUACUUUUAUAAUGCCACUUGUGAAUAAAUUGAUCAAAUUAGCAUGAAUCACCUGGCUGGCCAAUAGAGACUGGAAUGAUUCUCCACGUGUGACUUGGUUGCAUUAUUACAAAAUGUGGCAGGAUAGACCUGCCCAGCCGUGGUUGCCGAUGUUCAUUUGCAAUGCUGUCUUAAGGAGAUGAGGAGAUGAGAGCAAAUUGUUCCAGCAGCUCAGCCUGCCCUGCCAACAGUUCAGAGGAGGAGCUGACUGUGGGACCGGAGGCACAGGGGAGCCUGGGACUUGUUUUCACAGUGGUGUCAGCUGUUAUGAUGGGUCUGCUCAUGUUCUCCUUGGGAUGCUCUGUGGAGAUCCGAAAGCUCUGGUGGCACAUCAGGAGACCAUGGGGCAUUGCUGUGGGACUGCUCUGCCAAUUUGGGCUCAUGCCUUUGACAGCCUAUCUCCUGGCCAUCAGCUUCUCUCUGAAGCCAGUCCACGCUAUUGCUGUUCUCAUCAUGGGGUGCUGUCCCGGGGGAACCAUCUCGAACAUUUUCACCUUCUGGGUUGAUGGAGAUAUGGAUCUCAGCAUCAGUAUGACAGCCUGUUCCACAGUGGCCGCCCUGGGAAUGAUGCCGCUCUGCCUUUACCUCUACACCUGGUCCUGGGAUCUUGCGCAGAACCUCACCAUUCCCUAUCAGAACAUAGGAAUUACCCUUGUGUGCCUGACCAUUCCUGUUGCCUUCGGUAUCUAUGUGAAUUAUAGGUGGCCAAAACAAUCAAAACUCAUUCUCAAGGUUGGGGCCGUGGUUGGUGGGGUCCUCCUUCUGGUGGUCACAGUUGCUGGUGUGGUGCUAGCGAAGGGAUCAUGGAAUUCAGACACCACCCUUCUGACCAUCAGUUUCAUCUUUCCUCCGAUCGGCCAUGUCUCGGGCUUUCUGCUGGCACUCCUUACCCAUCAGUCUUGGCAAAGGUGCAGGACAAUUUCCUUGGAAACCGGAGCUCAGAAUAUUCAGAUGUGCAUCACCAUGCUCCAGUUGUCUUUCACAGCCGAACACUUGGUUCAGAUGUUUAACUUCCCGUUGGCCUAUGGACUCUUCCAACUGGUGGAUGGAGUUCUCAUUGUUGCAGCAUAUCAAAUAUACAAGAGGAGACUGAAGAACAGACCCAGAAAAAGGAACCCAGAUUGUGCAGAAGUGUGCCAUGACAAAAAAUGCAGAGAGGCCAGUGCUUUCUUGGAGGUGCAUGAAGAAGCUGCUGGAACCCCUGAGCCAUCAGGACCAAUGGAUCGCCACAGGGCUCUGGAGCCUACUGGCCACAUCACUUCAUGUGAAUAGUAGGGACUUGCUGGCCAGAGUGGUCCUCUGUCUUCCUCAGUGAUGGGUAAAGACAGGGCCACACCGAUGCAAUCUCCUUGGUUGGCAGGACCUGUGUGAAUACACUGAGUUGUCACAGGGAAACAGCUGUUCGGCCAACUACACUUUCCAGCUUCCUGGUACUUGGGGGCUGUCAAUCAGCCAGUUCUUGCUGAUGGAACGAGUGUCAGUGAUGUGCUUCACUUCCAGUCCUGGCCUGCCUAAUAGAAACCUCUCCACAUGUGCUCUUUUUUCUUCUGGCUGUAGGAACGGAGAUUCACAGGAUGACCUUGGAAGCACAUUUGUUAAUCAUAGAACUUCCAUCAGCCUGAGUUCUUAAAAAUGGAGGAAGGAGAGCUGCCCUGUUGGGUCGUUUGCAUGCCCAGAUUUGUUAUAUAAACUAGAAAUAAACUAUUAUGCUUGAUCCACUAA